UUAUUUUUAUUUUUAUUUUUAUUUUUAUUUUUAUUCCUGACACUUUUUAGGAAGUGCAGAGGUGAGAUAGGAGUGGAAGAAAUAGCUCCAAGCGUUCUGUUGUAGUGGCCAUAGAGCAGUGUCGCCGCAGGGAGGUUUCCCAGCCUCUUUCCCUGUUCCUGCCUCCCGUUCCUGCAAGGGGACCUUGUAGGGCAGACACAGGCGCCGCAGGGUGUUCGGGGCCGGGUGUUGAGCCGGGCUAGGUGUGAAUCACAGGCGCUCAAGACCCCUGGAUAUCCCCCCUGGGUGUCCUAGGCAGCGACCCCGCCGCGGUAUUAAGUGCAAUAUAAGGAGAUGCAGGGACACCUUAGCAGUCGGCCCGUGUCUGCUAGGCGCCGUAUGGAGCCUUUCGAUGCUCUUGACUGGAUAAUUUCAUCCCUUUCCCUGCGUCUUCCUUCAGUGACAUUGGUCGCUGUCCCUUGGGAAUGUAGGGACGUCUCGGCUGUACCUGCCGGGUGCUUCGUACACAGAGUUCCUCGGCCCUUCAGCUUGAGGCCAUGGUACCGCUCAGGUCCAGAAGCAGCAAGUUUGGGGCUUGGGUCUUGAAAUGCAGCGUGAGAACCGUGUGUCUCCCACCUGAGCAGCGGCGCUCAGUCCGUUACAGCGAUAUCCCUGCCCUCUCCGCGCCGGUAACGCACGAGCUGCGUCGCUCCUGGGAGCCCUGCCAGCCUUAAGGGCCUCUUCUCUGUUGCUCUCAGUGACCUGCCAGCUAUCCGGGGACAUCAGCCCGUCCUCAGGCUCUGCUGGAAGCCUCAGCGGCCUCCUCAGCUGCGACGUGUUAUCCGGCUCCGUUUGGCUUGGCCAGAGACACCUUAUAAAUUAAAAGGAGCAGAUCCAGCACAGAUCCUCAUUUUUUGGGCUGGUGGGUAUUCCCGAGGAGACCCUUGGGAACGCUCAGCCCUGUCACCUGUUUAUGAUGCUGCUCGAGUGGAUGGAAGACCCGGACCCUCCACAUGCACACGUUGGACAGACCGAGGCUCUCCAAGGAGGCGGAGAUGCCGCUGGAUUCCCCGUUCCUGGGAAUGGGAGUCUUCCCAAACCCUCUGUGGUGGCUCCUUGUGCCCGUUGGGAGCAGCUCUCCUUCCAUGGAGGACAAAUGCCCAGCAAAGCCUUCAGUGGAGACCGCCCCUUUCAGAAGAGGCUGAGAAUGACCAUGAGUGACGCGAGGGUGACCAGAAACAUCUCCCCGAGCCCAGGUGACGGUCAGAGAGCUGCUUCCCUGCUCCAGAAGUCCUCCUUUGGCCACGGGGAUUGGAAUUCACCUCCAUCCUUAAGGAGCAAGGGAAAAGAUGCCUGUGACUUCCCCUCCGCUUGUUGCCUGCAGCUCAUGUGGGCCUUCAGGGCCUUCUACACAGAAGCUCCAUCAACUUCAGAGUCUCCAACUCCUGGAAGAUGUAACUGCCUUUGAGGACCCAAGGAGAUGCACGAAGAAGGUAGGAACACGUGGGACCUCCAGCCAGGAAAAUAAAACACUGUCCUGCCAAGAGCGGCUUCCUGCUGGGCCUCCCCAGCACCCGCCUCCUGCUGCCACUUAUUCCUGGUGAUAUUUUAAUUAUUCGGAGAAAAUUCCGCGACCGACUCGGCGCCCACGCAGUCGCUGCAGGAACCACGAGCGCCUUGAGCACCGUCUGGGUGUUUUGCACUAUUUUGAAAAGGUUUGGGCCACAGAAUGGAGAACCCGUUUUGUUUUGUUUUGUUUUCCUGAGCUAACGAGCUGAAUUAAGAGUCGCCUAUGAUAAUGUAGGUUUAUUUUUUCAUUUGUACUGCGUUUCGGGGAAAACUUUAAGUAAAGACCUGUUACCAGUUAA